rnacentral:rRNA from 1 species
UACGGAGGGUGCAAGCGUUAUCCGGAUUCACUGGGUUUAAAGGGUGCGUAGGAGGGCAGGUAAGUCAGUGGUGAAAUCCCCGAGCUUAACUUGGGAACUGCCGUUGAUACUAUCUGUCUUGAAUAUUGUGGAGGUAAGCGGAAUAUGUCAUGUAGCGGUGAAAUGCUUAGAUAUGACAUAGAACACCGAUAGCGAAGGCAGCUUGCUACACAAUUAUUGACGCUGAGGCUCGAAAGCGUGGGGAUCAAACAGG